UAUUUUUGAAUCUAUUAGAAGUUAUUUUUUAUUGUUAUUGAGAUAAUGGCUCAUUUUAUACAAUUUAGAAGAAAUCGGAGAAGUUCAACUUCGAGUGUUUACAUGCAGUUAUUAUCAACUUUAGCAAAUGAUUUGGAUCAUAUGCUUAGUGAACUUUGUACGACUCCACCACCUCCAUAUGAUCGACUUUCCGAGGAGGAUCUUCACACA